CCUACGGGAGGCUGCAGUGGGGAAUCUUGCGCAAUGCUCGUAAGAGUGACGCAGCGACGCCGCGUGAAUGACGAAGGCCUUCGGGUCGUAAAGUUCUUUCGACAGGGAAGAAAAUGCCUAUAAGUAACUGUGUAUGUAUUGACGGUACCUGUAUAAGCAGCCCCGGCUAACUCCGUGCCAGCAGCCGCGGUAAUACGGAGGGGGCGAGCGUUGUUCGGAGUGACUGGGCGUAAAGAGCACGUAGGCGGUGUUGUAAGUCAUUAGUCAAAGACUAGAGCUCAAAUUUAGUAAGGCUAGUGAUACGAUAAUACGAGAGUAUCAGAGAGGAUUGCAGAAUUCCUGGUGUAGCGGUGAAAUGCGUAGAUAUCAGGAGGAAUACCGUUAGCGAAGGCGGCAAUCUGGCUGGAAACUGACGCUGAGGUGCGAAAGCGUGGGUAGCAAACAGGAUUAGAUACCCCGGUAGUC
rnacentral:rRNA from 1 species